rnacentral:rRNA from 1 species
UGACGUGUACCUGCAGAAGAAGCGCCGGCUAACUACGUGCCAGCAGCCGCGGUAAUACGUAGGGCGCAAGCGUUGUCCGGAAUUAUUGGGCGUAAAGAGCUCGUAGGUGGCUGGUCGCGUCUGCCGUGAAAGCCCGCAGCUUAACUGCGGGUCUGCGGUGGAUACGGGCCGGCUAGAGGUAGGUAGGGGCAAGUGGAAUUCCUGGUGUAGCGGUGAAAUGCGCAGAUAUCAGGAGGAACACCGGUGGCGAAGGCGGCUUGCUGGGCCUUACCUGACGCUGAGGAGCGAAAGCGUGGGGAGCGAACAGGAUUAGAUACCCUGGUAGUCCACGCUGUAAACGUUGGGCGCUAGGUGUGGGACCCUUCCACGGGUUCCGUGCCGGAGCUAACGCAUUAAGCGCCCCGCCUGGGGAGUACGGCCGCAAGGCUAAAACUCAAAGGAAUUGACGGGGGCCCGCACAAGCGGCGGAGCAUGUUGCUUA